rnacentral:rRNA from 1 species
CCUACGGGAGGCAGCAGUGAGGAAUAUUGGUCAAUGGGCGGGAGCCUGAACCAGCCAAGUCGCGUGAGGGAAGACGGUCCUAUGGAUUGUAAACCUCUUUAGGCGGGGAGCAAUGCCGGGCACGCGUGCCCGGAGGGAGAGUACCCGCAGAAUAAGCAUCGGCUAACUCCGUGCCAGCAGCCGCGGUAAUACGGAGGAUGCGAGGGUUAUCCGGAUUGAUGGGGUUUAAAGGGUGCGUAGGCGGAUUUUUAAGUCAGCGGGAAAGUGUCCGGGCUCAACCCGGGCCGGCCGUUGAAACUGGGGGUCUUGAGUGGACGAGAAGUAUGCGGAAUGCGUGGUGUAGCGGUGAAAUGCAUAGAUAUCACGCAGAACUCCGAUUGCGAAGGCAGCAUACCGGCGCCCGACUGACGCUGAGGCACGAAAGCGUGGGGAUCGAACAGGAUUAGAUACCCCAGUAGUC